GCUCCCGCGGCCAUGAGGCGCCCGCCUCACUCACCUCGCCGCCCUGCCCGGAGGACCAGGUGGCCGCUGCCGCCGGCGCUCAGCAGCUCAACCGGGCAAAACAAGAGUUGAAUGGACAAUAAAGUUUGAAACUUUAAAAGUUGAAAUCCAGAUGGACAAUUUGGAAGGAGGUUUCUAAAUCAUCUGCUGUGCGCUGUUUUUGAGAAGACAGAGAAGCCUGACUCAUGUUCCAGUACAAUCUACAGUGGAAAGAUCUUCAGCUUUUUUCCAUCUAGACCAGUUUCUUUCAGCACAAGGAUAGCUUUGGUGUUAAACUAAUACAAAAUUUGGACUUUCUAAGAAGAGUCACUUAAAAGCCAAGUGAAUCCCAACUGUUACUGAGCUCCAUCACUGCAUCAGUGUUAAGCUUUGUGAUGUUGUGCCUGAAAGCACUCAGGAGGAGAAACAUUUAUUUCCAGGCUAUAACUUUGAAUGAAAUUAUACACACUACCUCUUCAUAGCUGGGAAUAAACAAUUAGAUUUCAACCUAAUUAAUACUGACAACUUUCUCUAGCGACGCAAUUUUGUUCAUCCUGGAAGCAGCCUGUUCAGUACUUCCUAGAAAAAUGCUUUUACAGGCUGGCUACUUGGUUGAAAGUAUUAUAGGAAAUAAAAAUCACCAUAUCACUUGAUGGCUUGAUGCAUGGACCAGGAUUUGUUUUCCUUCUCUUCUAGAGCCCAGUGUUUAUUAGAUGGCAAGAUUCAGAGCUUUCAAAUUUGGUUAACAUUUCACCAUGAAGAAUCUUAGAUGUCUGAAAUCUCAAGGUAAAUUGUUGAUCUACUUUUGAAAAAAAUAUUUACAUUCCUUAUUUUGUUAGGAAGAAAAACAUAUCAGUUUUUCUACAUUAAAUAAGAAAAGACUCAGCAGUUCUCCUUAAAAUAGGAACCCUCUGAACCUAGCAGGACACUGCAUCCUAUGUAUUUUUAAAAGCAUAAAAAUUAUUCAUUUCUUAACCAGAAUGAAUAAUGGAAAACAACAAGACUUUUGGUGGUAUAAAACUGAAUACUGUUUGUCACCUUUAAAUGGAAAACCAACACUUUAAUGAUUAAGACUCAACAUUAUUAAUUUACUGCAGACUUGCCAGUUAAAAAGAAAGAUCACAUAGUGCAAUUUUCUUUUAAAAAACCUUUUAAACCUAGAUAGGGACAACAGGCACCUGAUAAACUGAUCUGUAUAAUGAAGGAAGUUAAUGGAUAUAUUUGGUUUUAUCCCUAUCUUAUCACUUCCUAGUGUAAAUGAAGCCUUUAAAUGGGUAUGGGUUUUGCUUUAGCAUUUGAAUAAAAUGAAAAUGAAUACACCUGUAUGUGCAGUGGAAACACACAACAAGCUUUAAUAGAAUAGUCAAAUACUGUUUCUAAAUUCCUGUAGAGUAUCACUUGAGGAAAUCAGAAUAUUUGAAAAACAAAACCAAGGAACUUCAGUCUGUCUCCAACCUACCUCACUUCACAUCAAGAUAACCUUCAGGAAAGAUUUUAUAGAGCACUGUUGCAUAUAUUGCAGAAAAUAUUGAGUAGCCUUACUGCAGAAUAUAAAAACCAGUUUUCAAUCAAUUCUAUAAUGUAACUUACUAAAAGAGCAUAACUAAAAAGAUACUGGAAAACACAUGGUAUUUGAUUGAGAAUACCAUUUGUCACUUAAAUUAUUUUCUAUCCUUUUUUCCUUUAAAUAAGUAAAGGUAAUUUUAUGUGCAAAAUGAA